AACUUUCAGCAAUGGAUCUCUUGGUUCUCGCAUCGAUGAAGAACACAGCGAAAUGUGAUAAGUAAUGUGAAUUGCAGAAUCCAGUGAAUCAUCGAAUCUUUGAACGCAUCUUGCGCUCCUUGGCAUUCCGAGGAGCAUGCCUGUUUGAGUGUCAUUAAACUAUCAAAACACUUUUUCUCGAGGUGUUUUGGACUUUGGGAGCACUGUGCUGGUCUCUGUUUGAGCCAGCUCUCCUCAAAAGCAUUAACUUUGAGACCAUCAGUGUGAUAAUUUGUUUGCACUGGCUUCUCUUUUUUAACUGCCCCUUUGACCUCAAAUCAGGUAGGACUACCCGCUGAACUUAAGCAUAUCAAUAAGCGGAGGCU
rnacentral:misc_RNA from 1 species